AUUAAACGCUGGCGGCAUGCCUUACACAUGCAAGUCGAACGGCAGCACAGCAGUAGCAAUACUGUGGGUGGCGAGUGGCGGACGGGUGAGGAAUACGUCGGAAUCUGCCCAGUCGUGGGGGAUAACUAGCCGAAAGGCUAGCUAAUACCGCAUACGACCGAGAGGUGAAAGCGGGGGACCGCAAGGCCUCGCGCGAUUGGAUGAGCCGACGUCGGAUUAGCUAGUUGGCGGGUAAGGCCCACCAAGGCGACGAUCCGUAGCUGGUCUGAGAGGAUGAUCAGCCACACUGGAACUGAGACACGGUCCAGACUCCUACGGGAGGCAGCAGUGGGGAAUAUUGGACAAUGGGCGCAAGCCUGAUCCAGCAAUGCCGCGUGUGUGAAGAAGGCCUUCGGGUUGUAAAGGCACUUUUAUCUAGGAACGAAAGACGUUGGAGUUAAUACUCUGACGUGCUGACGGUACCUGAGGAAUAAGCACCGGCUAACUUCGUGCCAG
rnacentral:rRNA from 1 species